CACGUGAUUACUCUCUGCAAUGAGCGGCCAUACUAUAAUACCACAGUAUAAUUUAUUCCUAUGAUGUGUCCUAGUAUCAAUUCAAAACAUACAAGAAAAUAUAGUACCACAUGCGUAUCACUUUUUCCUUUGACAAGUACACCCUCUCCGAGCCGAAAUUUUUAUUAGCGUUCUAUUAACGUUGAGGUUAUGGUGAUGUUAAAUUUUAGUAUAAUGAAAUGCAUUAAAAAUGGUAGAAGUAGUAACUUGACACUAAUUUUCCAACUAAGAUGUUAUUUCCUUUAAAAUGAAAAUAGUAAGAAACUUAAUGCGAACAAGUUGUUUGGAAAGAUCAGUAUAACUCGAAUAUAUUCAUUAAGAUAAAAGUGAUUCCUGAAGAAAUUGUUGAUGAUUAGGUCAGAAAAAACACCCAAGUCAAUCCUAUAUAGUUUGAUAUGAAGAGGAAAAGUGUACAACCAAAUUCGCUUAAAGUUAAGCAUUAUAAGGUAAAACGUAUAGUUUAUAAGUCCAUGAGUUUAAGGCAUUAUUUUGUAAAUAGUGUGUGUUCGCAGAAAUCUUUAUUCACGCUUCAACAAAAAGCGUCGUAAUCGAAUCGUUGUAAGAUGACACAAGUGCGGGAGGUUCUGAGACGGUGACUAUUCAAGAAAACAUUAAAUUAGUGGAAGAAAGUGUUCUAAGGGACCACCGCCUAAAAACAAUAGAAAUUGCAGGACAAACCGGCAUUUUCAACACAGUGUUCUGAGGAUCCUUCAUUCAUUUAAAUAUAACAAAAAUGUAUCAUCUAGAAAAACAACAUGAAUAAGAUUUUGUUGUUGUUUGAUUCUAACCAAAGAACCCUUCUGAGAUGAAAAGGGGACCCUCAAUUAUGCCAGUACCUACAGUUUAAUUUAUGGACCAUACAUUAUCAAUGGAAAAUUCUUUUUACAAAUGUUUAAUAACAAUUGUUCAAUGAAUGUAGUUUCCAGUUUAAAAAACUUUAGUAUUUUUUUUAAUUUGGCAACUAAGUACUUUCGCUUUUUACUGAUAGAGAGACUUGCUCCAUUUUUUAGUAACUUUUGUUAGUGCUGUACUUUGCCGGUCACAUUGUUGUGUUUUUUGAGCUGCUUCCAAGGAACCAAACAAUCAAUUCUGAAGUUUACUAUCAACAAUUAACGAAACUGUAUGAAGCCAUUAAAGAAACACGGCCAGAAUUGUCUAAUCGGAAAGGUUCAGUGUUCCAUUAUGAUAAUCCAAGGGCCCACACAUCCUUGGCAACUCGUGGGAAACUAUUGGAGCUUGGCUGGGAAGUGAUGGCACAUUCCCCAUACAGCCCUGAUUUGGCACCAUCUGAUUUGAAUGGUCAAACUUUCACAAAUGACGAUCACCUUCAAUCGCACCUGGUUAAGAAAAUUUAGAAGACUCCAUUUUUCCAUGUAUUACUUUUUGAUUUUUACUCUAGACAGUUGAAGAAUACCUAGAACUGUUUUUGCUUUUGUUUUAAUCACUCGUGUACCUCUAGAAUUUUCAGCUUAAAGGCAGAUAUAACCAAAGGAACAGACAUAUAAAUUCUACACUAUAACAGAAGCUACAGCAAUAGAGGAAAUUUGAAGAAUAGAUUUAUCUAAAUUUUUUAUCAAAUUGUAAAUUUCAUGACAAAACAAAAAUUUAUCAAUUGAAUAUUCAAUUAUGGCAGUGUGCUGAGCAUUGUAUUGAUGAGCCGAAAUAGUACAGAAACAUCAAAUUUGAAACUAAUCCCUUUUGAAGAAUCAUCGCUGCUCUACGCGUUAACUAGAAAUUUAAGUUGAUAGAUGAUUCUCCACUCCAAAAAAACAAAGUGAAAUCUGUAGAGACUCGCCAAAAUAAUCUACCAACCUCCUCACCAGUAUUUUUUUGUAAUCUUAUUUUUCAUAUGAAUCAACAUGGAAGAAUCAUCGCUGCUCUGUGCAUUAUCUUUAAAUUAUUAUUUUAAAAGCUAAUAGAUGAUUCUCUGCAACUUCAAUUGCAUUUGUAGUCAAGGCAUCUUGCUCAUAAUUCCUUGGAAAUGCAGAAUAUAUAUAUAUAUAUACAGGGUGAUUCAUUAAGAAUGUCCAAUCUCUGAACUGUAGAUUCUUGACGUCAAAAUAUGAUGAUUCUGCUCAACAGAAAAAAUUAAUUUUUCUUAUAGGAACAAAGUUCUUAUUUUGAUAUUCAUGAUGAGGGUGAUCUAUGGAUCAAUAUAAAUAAGCAAAUUGUCAGUGUCAAUAUCAUAUUUUGAUAAAGACUUAAAGAAAAGUCAAAGCGUCAAAAUUUAUCUUUUCUUUUAAAAACUCUCAAAAAAAAACUAAUUUUGAAACAGAAGAGACGUAAAAUCAAGAAUCUUUAGAUGCAUUAUUGUAUGUUUAUAUAUAUACUAGCUGACCCGGCAAACGUUGUUUUGCCAUGUACAUUAUUAUUUGUAGGAAACGUUAUUCUGGGUCAAUAAAAAUAAUUAUCUACUAUAAGUGUUCGGGGAUGUACUUAUAAUCGAAAGCGUUAUAAACAAUAAAAGAAAGCUUUAUGUAGGGUAAUAAAUUAAUGUAGAGAAUAUAUUUUAAAUUACAAUUCUUGCUAGUUAUCUAAAUAUCAAAAAUAAUUAUUCAUAUUUUAACUAUCAAUUAUGGCAGUUGAAAAAAAAAUUAAUCUCUUAGCGCAAUAGAGUGUACAAUAUUCUUGGUUAGUCCGUCUUUAGCCAACACAAACAAAGUUGAUGGUUUUCCCACGCGAGAACAUGCCACAUAUAGUUGUCCAUGGGAAAAGCAUGGUGUGUCCAAAUCUAAACCACAUACAGACAAUGUCUGGCCUUGGGACUUAUUGAUAAUCAUUGCAAAUGCCAAUCUGAUCGGAAGCUGAAUACGUUUAAAUUGAAUUGGCACAUCUGUCGGGAUCAUAGGGAUUCGUGGCAGCAACACAUUUUCGCCUUGAAGCUUGCCAUUCAAGAUGAUGGCUUCUAUAACGUUUUUUAUUAAUGUUUUAAUGACUAAUCGUGUGCCAUUACAUAGCCGUGGUGGGUUUAAGUUACGAAGGAGAAUAAUCUGUGAUCCAACUUUCAAUUGUAAAUUGUGUGGUGGCAUGCCUGGCGAAUCCAACGAAUUUAAAAACUUAAUUGGAUAAUUCACAGUCUCGUUGGUAUCACAAACUGCAUCGAUAGAUUUAUAUGACAAGUCCCCGGGUAACAACUGUUGUAUCUUUAAAUUUAAUCCAUUGACGUCCACAUUUUUACUUGCCACUUAUGAUUUAUAUAUUGUGUGUGUACGUCGGGAAAUAUGCGAUCGAUGAGAGUAUUUUGCGAGUCGAUGAUUGUGCAGAAGUCCGUCUGUAAUUUAAUGCAUCCAGUAUUUUCAUGUACAACAACUUUCCCAUCGCCAAUAUCUAACAGUUGUUUAGAGAAUGUUUCGGCGGACGGAUCCUGAAGCAUUUGAACGCGCAUGUUCACCGUCAGUUGUACUUUUUCAACAUUACGCCAUAGUCGCGAUGAUUUUAAGCAAGCGUUGAUUUCAUCAGCGUACGUUGAACGUGGAAUAACAGGAAGUGUUUGCCUGAAAUCACCUGAAAGGAGUAACAAAGUGCCGCCAAAUAUUUUAUCGUUGUUUGAUGAUGCCAUUUUUUGAUCGUAUCUCGGCAAGAAGUAGCGAAAUAAGGAACGUUUUGCCAGUUCCACCUAGUGCAUCCAAAAAAAAAAGAAUCCUCCUUGUCCUGCCGAAACUACCAGCAUAAUGCGGUCGUAAAUAAUUUUUUGUUCAUCAUUUAGUAAUGGAACAUUGCGACUAACAAUGCAUGCCAUUUCCACAGUAUUGUACUGCAGUUCACGAUUCAUAUCUGUGUUGAGUUAAUCGGAUGCACUUCGAUUCGAUGAACUCAUACCGAAAUGAAUGAUUGGUAAAUUCGCAAUAGCAAUGCAAAGAUCCUCGAUAGCAAUUAAUUAUUCAUUGUACAUUGCAUCACUGAAUGAUAUCGUUAGAUCGUUGUACCUUGUACGAUAUCGAUACAAAAUGUCAUCAGUCAUUGAAUCUUUGUGAU